UACAGAGGGUGCAAGCGUUGUUCGGAAUUAUUGGGCGUAAAGGGCGCGUAGGCGGUUCGGCAAGUCUCUAGUGAAAUCUCUGGGCUCAACUCAGAGUCUGCUGGGGAAACUGCCGGGCUUGAGUGUGGGAGAGGAGAGUGGAAUUCCCGGUGUAGCGGUGAAAUGCGUAGAGAUCGGGAAGAACAUCAGUGGCGAAGGCGGUCUGCUGGGCCGUUGCUGACGCUGAUGCGCGAAAGCGUGGGGAGCAAACAGG
rnacentral:rRNA from 1 species